UAGGGAAUCUUCGGCAAUGGGGGGAACCCUGACCGAGCAACGCCGCGUGAGUGAAGAAGGUUUUCGGAUCGUAAAGCUCUGUUGUUAAGGAAGAACGAGUGUGAGAAUGGAAAGUUCAUACUGUGACGGUACUUAACCAGAAAGGGACGGCUAACUACGUGCCAGCAGCCGCGGUAAUACGUAGGUCCCGAGCGUUGUCCGGAUUUAUUGGGCGUAAAGCGAGCGCAGGCGGUUAGAUAAGUCUGAAGUUAAAGGCAGUGGCUCAACCAUUGUAGGCUUUGGAAACUGUUUAACUUGAGUGCAGAAGGGGAGAGUGGAAUUCCAUGUGUAGCGGUGAGAUGCGUAGAUAUAUGGAGGAACACCGGUGGCGAAAGCUGCUCUCUGGUCUGUAACUGACGCUGAGGCUCGAAAGCGUGGGGAGCGAACAGG
rnacentral:rRNA from 1 species